ensembl:lncRNA
UGUGGGAGAGAGAGACAGCUUCUCAAGGUCACACUAGCGGAGAGACAGACAGCUUCUCAAGGUCACACUGUGGGAGAGAGAGACAGCUUCUCAAGGUCACACUGUGGGAGAGAGAGACAGCUUCUCAAGGUCACACUGCAGGAGGUAGAGCGCCUCCCAGGGUUAGGCAUGCCUGAGAGAUUAUAACCUUUGGAUUUUAAAAUCAUUCAUGAAUAAAACAACAUGGUAACAUUUCAGCGUCUGGAGUUUUUGGUUAGCCAACAUCUACUACACGUUCAGCUGUGGGCGACAGGUCCGGAACCCCACGUUCUAACAGGACGACAGCUCCGGGUCUCCACGUUCUAACAGGAUGAUAGGUCCGGAACCCCACGUUCUAACAGGACGACAGCUCCGGGUCUCCACGUUCUAACAGGACGACAGCUCCGGGUCUCCACGUUCUAACAGGAUGAUAGGUCCGGGUCUCCACGUUCUAAACGGACGGGACCGCGGACAGACUCCACAUUCUAACAGGAGGGGACAGCUGACUGAACAGUCGGAUGCUAGCUUGGUCUUUGGACUGCUGCUUAUAAGAGAGGAAAAACAUUUUUAAGCGGGAAACCUUCGAUGAGUCUCCGCCUUCCUCCAGAGGCUCCACCCACCACACUUAACAACACACACACACACACACACCCCACAACACUUCAAAAAAAUACAAAAAAAGUCCUUCUUGAGCAUGAAACCAUGACUUUGGUGUGCUUGGUGUCAGAACACCACAGGUCCCUUGUGCAACCCUCUCCGGUCAACAUGUACAAUGUUACACAACUAUAAAUAAAACACUCUUGCAUUGCAAUGGAAUAUUUCAGCUCAAGUCUUUAACAUUUAACGGAACUCUUCACCACGGACGGAAUCUGUGGAGAACAUGAAUGGGUUUUGGAGAGGAGGCAGAUCCAUUUACUUGGUUCCAGAUCUAUAGAUAAGGAAUUGGAACCACUGGUCUGCCUGGUCCUAGUUUUCUUAUCUGACCAAACAACCGGCGCUUAUCUUCAUGAUAGAAAACACACACAACCACAGACUCGCUCACAUUCACACAACCUCAACACACUCACAUACAAGGAUCGAUCAACACACUCGCAUACACUCAAAAGAAAAGAAUCUACACACACACACACACAUUUAUCAACCAGGGGAACCCCCGUGAUGAGGAAAGACAUUCUGAGACAGAGACAUUCCAGAGAGUUCUCACUCGAGCUGUCUGAAGUAAUAAUCCCCCCCCCACCCAAACUAGACUGACAGUACCUUAAGGCUUAGGGUCUACUUCUGAUGAUUUUUAACGCUGAUGAGAAACAUGUCCAAAAUCCAAACAUUUAAAACACAAACUCAG